GACGAACGCUGGCGGCGUGCCUAACACAUGCAAGUCGAGCGAUGAAACCCUUCGGGGUGGAUUAGCGGCGGACGGGUGAGUAACACGUGGGUAACCUGCCUCAAAGAGGGGGAUAGCCUCCCGAAAGGGAGAUUAAUACCGUAUAACAUUGGUUCUUCGCAUGAAGGACUAAUUAAAGGAGUAAUCCGCUUUGAGAUGGACCCCGCGGCGCAUUAGCUAGUUGGUGAGGUAACGGCUCACCAAGGCCACGAUGCGUAGCCGACCUGAGAGGGUGAUCGGCCACAUUGGAACUGAGAUACGGUCCAGACUCCUACGGGAGGCAG
rnacentral:rRNA from 1 species